rnacentral:rRNA from 1 species
AGCAGCCGCGGUAAUUCCAGCUCCAAUAGCGUAUAUUAAAGUUGUUGCAGUUAAAAAGCUCGUAGUUGAAUUUCGGGAUCAAUACGUCGGUCGUGCUUCGGUACGUACUGGCGUCAUUGAUUUCUCCCUUCUGACGAACCAUGAUGUCAUUAAUUUGGUGUUAUGGGAAAUCAGGACUGUUACUUUGAAAAAAUUAGAGUGUUUAAAGCAAGCUAACGCUUGAAUACAUUAGCAUGGAAUAAUGAAAUAGGACGUUCGAUCCUAUUUUGUUGGUUUCUAGGAUUGACGUAAUGAUUAAUAGGGAUAGUUGGGGGCAUUAGUAUUCAAUUGUCAGAGGUGAAAUUCUUGGAUUUAUUGAAGACUAACUACUGCGAAAGCAUUUGCCAAGGAUGUUUUCAUUAAUCAAGAACGAAAGUUAGGGGAUCGAAGACGAUCAGAUACCGUCGUAGUCUUAACCAUAAACUAUGCCGACUAGGGAUCGAAUGACGUUAAUUUUUAAUGACUCAUUCGGCGCCUUACG